UACGAAGGGUGCAAACGUUGCUCGGAAUUAUUGGGCGUAAAGCGCACGUAGGCGGCUUUGCAAGUCGGAUGUGAAAUCCCUCGGCUUAACCAAGGAAGUGCAUCCGAAACUGCAGAGCUUGAGUACUUAAGAGGAUCGCGGAAUUCCCGGUGUAGAGGUGAAAUUCGUAGAUAUCGAGAGGAACACCGGUGGCGAAGGCGGCGACCUGGACGAUGACUGACGCUGAGACGCGAAAGCGUGGGGAGCAAACAGG
rnacentral:rRNA from 1 species